rnacentral:ncRNA from 1 species
AUGUUGAAAUGUAUGGUGGGAAAUCAAUGUGAAACUCAUUGGCUGUUCCUGCAACGGUAAAAGUCCGAGCACCACCCAACAUAGUCCGUUGUCGAAUGAAGCCAGGAGAAGUCUAAUUCUGCAAUGAAAAA